rnacentral:rRNA from 1 species
GUGACCUCAAAUCAGAUGAGACUACCCGCUGAACUUAAGCAUAUC